AUGUAAUCUAAUUCCUACAACAUUAAUGCACCAUAUCCCAUUAGAAUUAUGCAGUUAAGCACACUUGGGCCAGAGUAGUACUGGGAUGGAUGACCUCCCAAGAAGUCCUAGUGUUUUGCAUG
rnacentral:rRNA from 1 species